AGUGAACGCUGGCGGUAGGCCUAACACAUGCAAGUCGAACGGCAGCACAGUAAGAGCUUGCUCUUACGGGUGGCGAGUGGCGGACGGGUGAGGAAUACAUCGGAAUCUACUUUUUCGUGGGGGAUAACGUAGGGAAACUUACGCUAAUACCGCAUACGACCUACGGGUGAAAGCAGGGGAUCUUCGGACCUUGCGCGAUUGAAUGAGCCGAUGUCGGAUUAGCUAGUUGGCGGGGUAAAGGCCAACCAAGGCGACGAUCCGUAGCGGGUCUGAGAGGAUGAUCAGCCACACUGGAACUGAGACACGGUCCAGACUCCUACGGGAGGCAGCAGUGGGGAAUAUUGGACAAUGGGCGCAAGCCUGAUCCAGCCAUACCGCGUGGGUGAAGAAGGCCUUCGGGUUGUAAAGCCCUUUUGUUGGGAAAGAAAAGCAGCAGGUUAAUACCCCGCUGUUCUGACGGUACCCAAAGAAUAAGCACCGGCUAACUUCGUG
rnacentral:rRNA from 1 species